UACAAAUGUUUAAAAAUUAUAAGUUGAUACAAAUUAUAAUCGUUGAAAUGACUUUUUAUAUAUUGCAGCUAUGUCCUCCGAUAUUACAAUGAGGAAUGUAAGGGGAUGUUGGAAACAUCUAGUUAUAAAAAAAUAGAUAUUUUUAUACUUCAGAGAUUUAAGCCUGAACAUAUAUGCGCCUUGAGGGAUAGGAUACUGUAGAAUAUUUUGACGACUACUGUUUUUGUCUCUGAAUUCACUGCUCCUAAAUUAGUUAACCAUAAGAGAAGGCACACACCUGGAGACAUCAUCGAAGAAAUGAAAGUUGUAUAUGGUGUAGAUAUAAAUUAUAUGAAGGCAUGGCGUGCAAAGGAGCGUGCCUUAGCGAUGCUUAGGGGCGGUCCUGCUAAUGGUUAUAGACAAAUGGCGAGAUACAUUUAUAUGUUGAAAAGUGUAUAUCCUAAUUCACACAUUGCAAUGCAUAAGUAAUGGAAUAAUCGGUUUAUGUAUCUGUUUAUAGUGUUGCAUCCUAUGAUAAGGGGUUUUGAGUAUUGCAGACCUGUUGUUGUUGUUGUUGAUGGUGCACAUUUAAGUGGACCAUAUCAAGGGACUUUACUCUCAGCAAGUACUCUAGAUGGUGCAGGAUGCAUAUUACUGCUUGAGUAUGGGGUUGUGGAUACUGAGAAUGACAACUCAUGGACAUGGUUUUUCAAUUAUUUUAAAAUUGCAUUUGGAGAAUGUGACAACAUGAGUACUGUAUCUGAUAGGAAUGAAAGUAUUAUCAAAGUUGUCAGUGUUGUAUAUCCAAAAGUCCCGCAUCUUGCCUACAUUUGGUAUCUCUGGAAAAAUAUUUGUAGUCACUUUCGUAAGAGCAAAGAAAGUAUCAGUGAUUUGUAUUAUUCAAUGGCUUAAGCUUAUAGAAAAAAUGAUUUUGACUACUUAAUAGCAAAGAUUGAAAAAGCUGAUCCGAGAGUGAAAGAAUAUCUACAAGAAGCUGGAUAUGAAAAGGGAAGUAGGUGUCAUUCACCGGUAAACAGAGGUCGGAUGAUGACCUCGAAUGUUGCUGAUUGUAUUAAUGGGUGUUUGAUGGAGGUCCGAGAAUUGUCAAUAUAUAAUUUUUUCGAAAAGGUUCGAAUGUUAUUGGUUCUUGAAAUUGUAAAAAUAGUGAGAUACCUUCUUAUAUAAGUACGACUUUGGAUCGUAGAUUUGAAGAAAUUUUAACUCUUAACGGUGUGAAAACUUUGAGAAUGACGGUGAAGGCUUCAUCAACCUACAUAUAUUCGAUUUAUGAAUCUGGGAGAAGAUACAUUGUUGACCUUGAAAGUGGCUCGUGCAACUGUGCGAGGUUUCAAAUAGAUCAAAUACCUUGUGCUCACGCUAUAGCUGUAUUGAAGUCUAAACACGUAAAAGAUUUUGGACCGUAUUGUUUAGAAUACUACAAGCCAAACACUUUGAUGAACACAUAUGAAGUUCCAAUAAUUCCGAUGCCAGAUAAGAAAGACUGAAAUGUUUUCAACAGUGCAGAUGCUGAAGAAGUGUUACCACCGAUAUACAAAAGACUUCCAGGAAGACCAAAGAAAGGGUGGAAGAAGAAAUCCAGCGAAACACUUUCGUCAAGCACAAACCGUUGUGGACGAUGCAGCCAUGAAUGGCACAAUAGGCGUUCAUGUAAUUUUUUUUCCAAAGGAGAACUAAUUUAUUAUUUUGCUAUACACUUGAAGAGUAAUCACUCAUAUAUUUCAGUUUUUUAUUUUUGCGUUGAAAUAAAUUUUAGUUUAAUUCGAUUUAAA